rfam:Pseudomonas resinovorans NBRC 106553 DNA, complete geonome.
GGGGCCGAUUAGGAUUCGACGCCGGUAACAAAACUCUAGGGGCAUGCCGAGCUGGUAGCAGACCUCGUAAAUUAGCUGCUGCAAACUAUUAGUUGCCAACGACGACAACUACGGGGCGGCCCUCGCGGCCUAACCCUUCUGGCGGCUUCGGCUGCCAGCAGUCAUAAGGGGAUGCCUGUAAACCCGAAAUGACUGUCAGAUAGAACAGGAUCGCCGCCAAGUUCGCUGUAGACGUAACGGCUAAAACUUAUACAGCUCGCUCUGAGCACCCUGCCAGUCGGGCCGCAAAGAGCUAACUCAGUAGACUUGGCUAAGCAUGUAGUCCCGAAAGCGGAGAGCUGGCGGACGGGGGUUCAAAUCCCCCCGGCUCCACCA